CUCCGGUUGAUCCCGCCGGACCCGACUGCUAUCAGAGUGGGACUAAGCCAUGCGAGUCAACAUAGCAAUAUGUGGCAUACGGCUCAGUAACACGUAGUCAACAUGCCCAGGGGACGUGGAUAACCUCGGGAAACUGAGGAUAAACCGCGAUAGGUCAUCACUUCUGGAAUGGGUAAUGACUUAAAUCUAUAUGGCCCCUGGAUUGGACUGCGGCCGAUCAGGCUGUUGGUGAGGUAAUGGCCCACCAAACCUGUAACCGGUACGGGCUCUGAGAGGAGGAGCCCGGAGAUGGGCACUGAGACAAGGGCCCAGGCCCUAUGGGGCGCAGCAGGCGCGAAACCUCUGCAAUAGGCGAAAGCUUGACAGGGUUACUCUGAGUGAUUUCCGUUAAGGAGAUCUUUUGGCACCUCUAAAAAUGGUGCAGAAUAAGGGGUGGGCAAGUCUGGUGUCAGCCGCCGCGGUAAUACCAGCACCCCGAGUGGUCGGGACGUUUAUUGGGCCUAAAGCAUCCGUAGCCGGUUCUACAAGUCUUCCGUUAAAUCCACCUGCUUAACAGAUGGGCUGCGGAAGAUACUAUAGAGCUAGGAGGCGGGAGAGGCAAGCGGUACUCGAUGGGUAGGGGUAAAAUCCGUUGAUCCAUUGAAGACCACCAGUGGCGAAGGCGGCUUGCCAGAACGCGCUCGACGGUGAGGGAUGAAAGCUGGGGGAGCAAACCGGAUUAGAUACCCGGGUAGUCCCAGCUGUAAACGAUGCAGACUCGGUGAUGAGUUGGCUUAUUGCUAACUCAGUGCCGCAGGGAAGCCGUUAAGUUUGCCGCCUGGGGAGUGCGGUCGCAAGACUGAAACUUAAAGGAAUUUGGCGGGGGAGCA
rnacentral:rRNA from 1 species